AACGAUUGUGUGUUAUAGGGUUAUUACAAUAUGAAAAGACUAGAAUACCCUCACUCACUUUACUAAUAAUAAAGACUAUAUUACCCUCUACUAACUUAAUUAUUAACUAAAUAACCAAUGCUAAAUAACCCCCAUUGUCCGCUGAAUGUCUUGCAGAUUAGGUUACGAAGUCCUUCAAACGGGUACUCAGAUAUCGGAUUCGUCGAUCCGGCGCCCUUUCCUCCAUAGUUGUUGGUUGGUCGUUACUCUGCUCUACCGGUGAUUCCAGUUCUUCCGUCGAUGGUCCAGCUCUCGCGAUUUCCAGGUCAUCCACCAACUGACGCGCCUCCUCACACACGUUCUCCAGCCGACGCGCGUAUUUCUCUACGUCCUCCUUGUAAGUAUCCCUAUCACAUCUCCCAUUGUGUAGCCUGCAACUACUAAAGAAUGCUUAAGCCCUUUGAACUUUAGAAUAUAUUCAUUCAUCGGAAAAUUAGAUGUCUCCUUCAGUGAUGACAUCUCAUCUCUAAGCCUUUGAAUUUAAUUUUUAUCAUUUGGAGACACAUUCACUUCCAGAGUAUGCCAUGCCUCAUAAGUUGUACACGGAAUGAGUAAAGGUUGAAUUUCUUGGCUUACAGUCGCUUUUAUCCAGCUGAAGAUGAUCCCGUCGUUCUUCUUGCAUAAGAUAAUCAAGAUUCACCUCUCCAUUAGCCAAAUGAACCUCUUGAAUCACCAUUUUGCCUGAAAUGUAGUCCAUUAGGCCAUGGAUCCACAAAGCCCCUUCAAAUUAGCGUUGGGCACAAUGACGAAAUACUAUAUAUACAUCAUCUGCGACACAUCUACCUUUGACAUUAUAGAAGUGCUCACCGUCCCUGUUGUCACUCCAUUUGUCGCCAUUUUCACCUAAUCUCGUAUCUUCAGCGGAAAAACAGAAUCUUUUUUCUCCCAAAUUGAAAACGAGAAGCUCGCGAUACCAUGUAGAAGUCUGAGAUUGAGAUGCAUUUAUAGCAAAAUGCUAUAACAGAAUCCGUAACUGAUUAAUUGAGUAAAUCAGUGGAAGAGAAAAAAGGUAAGAAGAAAAAGAAGAACGAUGAAGAAGAAGAUGGGUGAUGCAUGAAGAUAGAACGAAGAGUUGAAGAAGG
rnacentral:lncRNA from 1 species